rnacentral:rRNA from 1 species
CUUUAAACCAAUCAUGUUUAAAUUUUUUUUUAUAUUGUUUAAAAAAAUUUUUUUAAGUCUGUUGUAAGAAAUAUUAUUAUUUUUUUUAUUAUUAUUAAUUAAAAGUAAAAAUAAACUAGGGUUAGACACCUUUUAUACCUCAAUUAAAAUAUAUCAGGGUUUAAAAGAUUAGUCUUUAUACUUAAAAGACAUGGCAGUAUUUUACCCCAUAUAGAGGAACUUGAAUAUUAGAUGAUAAUCCGCUAUAAUUUUAUUUUUAAUUUAUUUUGUGUGUGGUUGUUUUGAUAAGUAUUGGAUUAUACGUCGUAUUUCAGAUUACAUGUAGAAAUAUUAAAAUUUAUUUUAGUUACAAGUAUUAAUUAUAUAGGAUUUAUAUGUAAUAAUUUUUUUAAGAGUAUUUUGAAGAGGUUAUAAAAUGUGUUCAUAUUGUCCGUCGCUCUCUUAGUG